AACGUAGGACACGAGCGUUAUCCGGAGCUACUGGGCGUAAAGGGCGGGUAGGUGGUGCGCUACGACUGGUGUGAAAGCCUUCGGCUUAACCGAGGGAGGACACUGGUGACUGUCGGACUUGAGGCAGAUAGAGGGGUGUAGAAUUCCGGGUGUAGUGGUGAAAUGCGUAGAGAUCCGGAGGAAUACCAGAGGCGAAGGCGGCACCCUGGGUCUGACCUGACACUGAUCCGCGACAGCAUGGGGAGCGAACGGG
rnacentral:rRNA from 1 species